rnacentral:rRNA from 1 species
CCUACGGGAGGCAGCAGUAAGGAAUGUUCCACAAUGGGGGCAACCCUGAUGGAGCAAUGCCGCGUGCAGGAAGACGCUUUUCGGAGUGUAAACUGCUUUUAUCUACCAAGAUUAUGACGGUAGUAGAUGAAUAAGGACCGGCUAACUACGUGCCAGCAGCCGCGGUAAU